UUGAUAUUUAGUAUAAAAUGGUUUGCUCGAAACAUGAAAAAGAAUCAAUAAUAAAGAUUAACUUAAACAUUAUUUAGGUUGUGUGUAGAAUAUCUCUCUAUGAUUGUUUCAAAUAUUGUAGAUCGAACUGUAAAUUGGUCAUGACAUGUCAAGUUUUUCAAACUAAUUUGAUUUAUGAUUCUAUCAUAGACAUUUCACAAAAAUGGGCAGGCAAUAAAAGUUCCUAUCUGUACCUGUAUUAACUAAUCAUAAUUUUUUACAUGGUUUGUGAGUUCCAUCAUUGUAGAGAAUUGCAAAGAAGUUUUGUAAGUAAAGGGAAAGAGAUCCAUAUAAUCAAAGAAACCACUUUUUUUUAAUAAGAUGAAUGAAUGCACCUCUUCAAGUUCUACAGAAUUAUUAAAUGAAGGAAUCUGCUUCAGAAUUACUGACUGCAUGUCGCUGCAACAUCUGUGCUACAA